rnacentral:rRNA from 1 species
GAUUAUGGCUCAGGACGAACGCUGGCGGCGUGCUUAACACAUGCAAGUCGAACGAGGAUAGUUGGAAGCUUGCUUUAGCUAUUCGAGUGGCGGACGGGUGAGUAACGCGUGAGCAACCUGUCUCACACAGGGGAAUAACGCAUCGAAAGAUGUGCUAAUACCGCAUAGGACCACGGUAUCGCAUGGUACUGAGGUGAAAGGAGCAAUCCGGUGUGAGGUGGGCUCGCGUCUGAUUAGAUAGUUGGUGAGGUAACGGCCCACCAAGUCAACGAUCAGUAGCCGACCUGAGAGGGUGAUCGGCCACAUUGGGACUGAGACACGGCCCAGACUCCUACGGGAGGCAGCAGUGGGGAAUAUUGGGCAAUGGGCGAAAGCCUGACCCAGCAACGCCGCGUGAAGGAAGAAGGUUUUCGGAUCGUAAACUUCUGUCCUUGGUGAAGAGAUAGAGACGGUAGCCAAGGAGGAAGCCCCGGCUAACUACGUGCCAGCAGCGGC